ACGUGAUUGUGUGUACACAUUGAACAGCCACAUCGAUUUCAUUGUUAUUUAAUGUCAAAAUGGGCAGGCAUUGUGCUGCAUUUGGUUGCUCUAAUAGCGUCAGAAAAAUGAAAGAAAAUGUAUCUUUUCAUUGCUUUCCAAUUAAUGACCCAGAAACUCUUAAGCAGUGGUACGCAAAAAUUAAGAGAGUUGCAUAUGUUCAGAGCACUUCAAUGAAGAAGAUUUUGAAUAUCAACCAUUUACGAAUCGCAGACAACUGAAAAAAGGUGUUAUUCCUUCAAUAUUUUCUUACACUAAGCCCAAAGUCAAAAGAGCCAAGACAUCUUACAAUGUUAGUGCAUCAGUCGUAGAACCACAAAGAGAAGCAGGACCAUCUUCAUGUGAUAAAGAGGUGCAAACAGAACUAAGCACGGAAGACAUAGAUGCACUCUUUUUAAAGAUUAAAAAACUGGAGGACAAUAUUAGUGAGGUUGAGUUAUUGAUAAAAGAUCAUGUAUUUUCCUUUUCCAAAUUUGAAACUACAACUGUACAAUAUCUGACAGGGUUUUCACAAGAUUAUGUUGUAAUACUUUUUGAUUUCUUUCAGUUAGAAGAAUCACUUGUAUCCAAGACAAAAUUUAAUAGUCUCUCAAAGAUAAAUCAAUUUUUUUUAUUUUUGCUUAGAUUGAGGCAUGGUCUGACAAUUAGAGUUUUGUCAGCCAUGUUUCAAAUAAGUAUAACAAGUGUAUUUAGUAUUUUCAAUAAAUUGGUAAGCCUUCUUUAUGACAAAGCUAAGUCAGUCAAUAUUUGGCCGUCUCGAGAACAAAUAAA